GUAUUGCUGACCGGCAUAGGAGUGGAGGCUAGUACCAUCUUUGUCAUCCAUUCUCAGUAGGUUAUUGAUUAACCUACUUAUUGUACUAUAUUUCGAGUGUGUUCCUUAGAUUGCUCUGAAUACUUGUAGAGAGUGGAUUUAUACAUUUGUAUAAUUAUGUGUGUAAGAGAGUGGUCUAAUUUGGGAGGAAGUUGAAUGAUUUGAAUUUGUAUAAGAUGUUAAGAUUGAAGCAGGGUGGCUUCAAGCAUAGCAUUUAGAGUAUUGAGAAGUGUUUUCAGCAGGUUUAGGGUUGCCCAUUUUUAGGGGAGGUUCUGUCGAAUUUUCUCGAAAAGUGGGCCCCGCAGGUCCACCUAGGAGUUAGGAGGGUAAUUCUGGGGUGGGUCCU
rnacentral:lncRNA from 1 species